rnacentral:misc_RNA from 1 species
GCCCUGAUCAUCGGGGCGGGGGGCACGUCGCGCGCGGCGAUAUACGCGCUGUGGAAGCUAGGGGUGAAGACGAUCUACCUGUACAACCGGACGAAGGCCAGCGCGCAGACCCUCAUCGACGUGUUCCCCGACGCCAACGUCAAGCUCGUCGCCGCGCUCGGGAGGUGGCCGGACGACGGGCCCGCGCCGACGGUCAUCGUCUCGACCGUCCCUGCGUCUGCG